GGCCUGUGAUGCAUAGAAAAAUUGUCCGUACCAUCUGAUGAUGUCAAUCUCUUGAUGUGUUGAAAUAUCUUCUGAGGCCU